rnacentral:rRNA from 1 species
UACGUAGGGGGCUAGCGUUGUCCGGAAUCAUUGGGCGUAAAGCGCGCGUAGGCGGCCAGAUAAGUCCGGUGUGAAAGUCACAGGCUCAACCUGUGAAUGCCGCUGGAAACUGUCUGGCUAGAGUCCGGAAGGGGCGAGUGGAAUUCCUGGAGUAGCGGUGAAAUGCGCAGAUAUCAGGAGGAACACCAAUGGCGAAGGCAGCUCGCUGGAACGGUACUGACGCUGAGGCGCGAAAGCGUGGGGAGCGAACAGG